rnacentral:rRNA from 1 species
GAUACGAGUUUGAUCCUGGCUCAGAACGAACGCUGGCGGCAGGCUUAACACAUGCAAGUCGAGCGCCUCGCAAGAGGAGCGGGCAGACGGGUGAGUAACGCGUGGGAAUGUACCCUUUGCUACGGAAUAGCUCCGGGAAACUGGAAUUAAUACCGUAUGUGCCCUUCGGGGGAAAGAUUUAUCGGCAAAGGAUCAGCCCGCGUUGGAUUAGCUAGUUGGUGGGGUAAUGGCCUACCAAGGCGACGAUCCAUAGCUGGUCUGAGAGGAUGAUCAGCCACACUGGGACUGAGACACGGCCCAGACUCCUACGGGAGGCAGCAGUGGGGAAUAUUGGACAAUGGGCGCAAGCCUGAUCCAGCCAUGCCGCGUGAGUGAUGAAGGCCCUAGGGUUGUAAAGCUCUUUCACCGGUGAAGAUAAUGACGGUAACCGGAGAAGAAGCCCGGCUAACUUCGUG